rnacentral:rRNA from 1 species
UACAGAGGUCCCAAGCGUUGUUCGGAUUCACUGGGCGUAAAGGGUGCGUAGGUGGCUUGGUAAGUUUGAUGUGAAAUCUCCGGGCUUAACCCGGAAAUGGCAUUGAAUACUACUUUAGCUGGAGGUUUGGAGGGGGGACUGGAAUUCUCGGUGUAGCAGUGAAAUGCGAAGAUAUCGAGAGGAACACCAGUGGCGAAGGCGAGUCCCUGGACAACACCUGACACUGAGGCACGAAAGCUAGGGGAGCAAACAGG